AUGUGGAUGAAAUGGACGAAGAUGCAGGAGAGCGAAUGGAAGGAGAUGAAAUUGUUCAAGAUCCAGGAGAGUGAAUGGAAGGAGAUGAAAUUGUUCAAGAUCCAGGUACAGUUACCGUUGAUCAUUCCAUCAUUUCAUCAUUUGAUCAUUCCAUCACUUCAUCACUUGAUCAUUUCAUUUAAUCAUUUCUCUGUUGUAUGUCUUGGUGCAGGUGUUGGGCAAGUUGCUAGGAAAUAUAAAACCCUCAAUGACCAGCAAAAAAUUGCUGCUUAUGUAGCAAUGCAUACACUGUGUAUGAGUAGAGGAGGCACUUUUUUGGGAACUGACAAGCAAGACAUUGCAAAUUUUUUCGGAGUGGGUGUUUGGAGUAUACAAAGAAUUUGGAGAAAAGCAAUGAGGCAAAUUAGCGAAGGUAAAGAGGUGGAUGUUUCUAAUAAAAAAAAAGAAAUUCUGGAAGAAAGCCUAAGGACAUUAAUCUAG
rnacentral:rRNA from 1 species